CCUGCUUGCAGUAGCAUCAGGGUUUCUCGGAGCAGGAUUCAGCAUGGAAGGUGAGCGCCGGGGAGCUGUACCAUGCCCUUUACCCACCAGCAGCUGCCUUAAGAUCUGGUCCUGGUCUGCUCUGGUCUUACUGAACUUUGAAAGAACCAACCCAAAUCCUGCUGAGUUUAUGUAGGUGUUUCAGCCUCUCUACCGCCCGGCAGCUCUGAGAAGACGGACUGCAGGAAAGUUCAAAGUUCAGCACUGGCAGAUCUAAAAACAGAUUUGUGGGGUAGCUCUUCAGCACUGUGCUUUCUGUACCGAGGUAAACCGAUACUGUUCCAAUUAAAUAGCAACGCCGCACAAAGGAGGUCAGGCAUUGUGUGUGGCUCCGUGCUGGCAUCCCACCCAGGCACCUCCACCACCGCUCCUUCUCGGAGGCCAAGAGCUUCUUCGGGAGUCACAGGGGGGUUGUAAAACACACAGAGGAGAACAGAGCCACCAUAACAAACAAACAAAUGUGUACAACAAUAGACACCUUACAACACACAAACAGUGCAAAACAUUGUAAUAGAGGAAUUGGAUUUCAUGAGGUUUAGGACACGGAGUAGCAGCACACCUGUGAUAACUUAGAAAUGAAUUAAAUAAACCAGAAAGCAGAAGUCUUCUACUGUUGCACCACAAAAUGAAAUACCUUGGCUUGGAGGUUUGUUUUGUUUUCAGAAAUUAAAAAAAAAAAUCGGAACUAUAAAUAAAUUUUGUGGCAAUAUAUACAGAUUUAAAUAAUUAACUUAAAUAUCUUACACCUACUCUUGCAUAAAACUCUCCAGUAAAAGUGCACCACGUUUCUUUUCCCCAAAU